GUGAAAGGCUUAUCAAUUCUAAAGAUAUCUGGAAUAAUUUUAAAUGUAUCUAGUACAAAAUAAAAAUUUAAGUAAAAAAAUGUUAAGGUUUUUUUAUAUUAGUAUAGUAAACUAUUUUUAAAAAUAUGAAUUAAUCUUCCAAUAUCUAAAAUUACCAAAAAUUCUUUAUUUCAAUAUCUAAACAAUAAAAUUAAAUUCUGCUAACCUAAGUAAAAAUAAACUCUGUUAAAAUUAGUAUAUUAUUUUAUAUUUAAAUAAGGAACUCGGCUAAUUAUUUAUUCAUCUGUUUAUCAAAAACAUAGUCUUAUGAAUUAAUAUAAGAUGCAACCUGCCCAUUGAUAUAUUUUUAACGGCCGCAGUACCUUGACUGUGCUAAGGUAGCAUAAUAAAUUGACUCUUAAUUGGGGCCUUGAAUGAAAGGAUUAAUGAGUAAUUUCUGUCUUAUAAAUAAUUUAUUGUAAAUUACUUAAAAGGUGAAAAUUCCUUUAAUAUAUACAAUAGACGAGAAGACCCCAGGAGUUUAAAAUUUUUGUUGGGGCGACAGUAUAGCAUUAAACCUAUAAAUAAAAUAAUUUAUUGAACGAAUAAUUUUAAUUAAAAAUAAACUACCCUGGGGAUA
rnacentral:rRNA from 1 species